rnacentral:rRNA from 1 species
UACGUAGGGGGCAAGCGUUGUCCGGAUUUAUUGGGCGUAAAGAGCGUGUAGGCGGCCGUACAGGUCAGCUGUGAAAACUCGAGGCUCAACCUCGAGACGCCGAUGGAAACCAUAUGGCUAGAGUCCGGAAGAGGAGAGUGGAAUUCCUGGUGUAGCGGUGAAAUGCGCAGAUAUCAGGAAGAACACCCGUGGCUAAGGCGGCUCUCUAGUACGGUACUGACGCUGAGACGCGAAAGCGUGGGGAGCGAACAGG